rnacentral:lncRNA from 1 species
UUCGUGUUUCCAUCGUUUCCAUCGGGCAGUUUUGACAUUACGAUGUCUACACGAAUGAAUCACGAAGCUACCCGAAGGUCUUACGAUGGCAACACGACUUCGUGAAGACCUCGUAAUCCCGUCGUGUUGCCAUCGAAUAAAAGUACGAAGGCGACAAGAUGGAACUACGACGGCAAUAAAUCCAGCUAAAUGUAAGUUAAUUUUUGCGCUAAAAUACAUUUAAAGUGCCAUGCGCGAUAUGCACUGGUCAGUCUGAUACGAC